GUGACUGCGUACCUUUUGUAUAAUGGGUCAGCGACUUAUAUUCUGUAGCAAGGUUAACCGUAUAGGGGAGCCGGAGGGAAACCGAGUCUUAACCGGGCGUUAAGUUGCAGGGUAUAGACCCGAAACCCGGUGAUCUAGCCAUGGGCAGGUUGAAGGUUGGGUAACACUAACUGGAGGACCGAACCGACUAAUGUUGAAAAAUUAGCGGAUGACCUGUGGCUGGGGGUGAAAGGCCAAUCAAACCGGGAGAUAGCUGGUUCUCCCCGAAAGCUAUUUAGGUAGCGCCUCGUGAAUUCAUCUCCGGGGGUAGAGCACUGUUUCGGCUAGGGGGCCAUCCCGGCUUACCAACCCGAUGCAAACUGCGAAUACCGGAGAAUGUUAUCACGGGAGACACACGGCGGGUGCUAACGUCCGUCGUGAAGAGGGAAACAACCCAGACCGCCAGCUAAGGUCCCAAAGUCAUGGUUAAGUGGGAAACGAUGUGGGAAGGCCCAGACAGCCAGGAUGUUGGCUUAGAAGCAGCCAUCAUUUAAAGAAAGCGUAAUAGCUCACUGGUCGAGUCGGCCUGCGCGGAAGAUGUAACGGGGCUAAACCAUGCACCGAAGCUGCGGCAGCGAACGUAUCACCCAAGACAACUUUACGGAGUUGACGAUUGACGGAGCGAAGCGACGUCAAAGCGUUCAUUAAAGUCGAGUUGGCUUAGGGAUACGUUCGUUGGGUAGGGGAGCGUUCUGUAAGCCUGUGAAGGUGUGUCGUGAGGCAUGCUGGAGGUAUCAGAAGUGCGAAUGCUGACAUAAGUAACGAUAAAGCGGGUGAAAAGCCCGCUCGCCGGAAGACCAAGGGUUCCUGUCCAACGUUAAUCGGGGCAGGGUGAGUCGACCCCUAAGGCGAGGCCGAAAGGCGUAGUCGAUGGGAAACGGGUUAAUAUUCCCGUACUUGGUGUUACUGCGAAGGGGGGACGGAGAAGGCUAUGUUGGCCGGGCGACGGUUGUCCCGGUUUAAGCGUGUAGGUGUGUGUUCCAGGUAAAUCCGGUUCACUUUAACACUGAGGCGUGACGACGAGGCACUACGGUGCUGAAGCAACAAAUGCCCUGCUUCCAGGAAAAGCCUCUAAGCAUCAGGUAACACGAAAUCGUACCCCAAACCGACACAGGUGGUCAGGUAGAGAAUACCAAGGCGCUUGAGAGAACUCGGGUGAAGGAACUAGGCAAAAUGGUGCCGUAACUUCGGGAGAAGGCACGCUGACACGUAGGUGAAGUGAUUUACUCAUGGAGCUGAAGUCAGUCGAAGAUACCAGCUGGCUGCAACUGUUUAUUAAAAACACAGCACUGUGCAAACACGAAAGUGGACGUAUACGGUGUGACGCCUGCCCGGUGCCGGAAGGUUAAUUGAUGGGGUCAGCGUAAGCGAAGCUCCUGAUCGAAGCCCCGGUAAACGGCGGCCGUAACUAUAACGGUCCUAAGGUAGCGAAAUUCCUUGUCGGGUAAGUUCCGACCUGCACGAAUGGCGUAAUGAUGGCCAGGCUGUCUCCACCCGAGACUCAGUGAAAUUGAACUCGCUGUGAAGAUGCAGUGUACCCGCGGCAAGACGGAAAGACCCCGUGAACCUUUACUAUAGCUUGACACUGAACAUUGAGCCUUGAUGUGUAGGAUAGGUGGGAGGCUUUGAAGUGUGGACGCCAGUCUGCAUGGAGCCGACCUUGAAAUACCACCCUUUAAUGUUUGAUGUUCUAACGUGGACCCGUAAUCCGGGUUGCGGACAGUGUCUGGUGGGU
rnacentral:rRNA from 1 species